AAAGGUAAUAAAACUAAUCAGAAACUACGAAAAAUAUACAAUUAUCUACAGAAAAACUACAUUAAUUUACAAAAACUUAUUCCUAAUAUCACAGGCAAGUAACUAAAACUAUGGACAAACUAUCUACGGACAUGUAAAAACUACAGAAACAACAGGAUUGACAUAUACAACAAAUACAUUGAUGCAGACAAGGAGGACAAACAACAACGGAGCACCGGCGGGCAUAUCAAAUGCAAUGCGAACAUUACGCUGUAUACCGGCCGACUCUGUUGUCCCCCUGUGUGUUUUUUAUUGGCUGGGUGUACUUGUCGGCGUUGGGAUGUUGUUGCUGGCGACCUUUGUCUGGUUGGUGUUGGCGUGAGAGACUUUUGCAGGCGAGUAUUUGUGUUUUUAUUGGCAGCCUUUUUUUCUGAUUCUCCUUCUUCUUUUGCAGGAUUUGCUGACGUCCGGCGGUUCAACACCGGGCCAUCCCGCCCUCACAUAAUUGGCAUGAGAGACGGGUGCGACCCAGUGGAGCGGCAACAGGCGCCAGCAUCUGCGUCGUCGUUUGGAAUGGCAGCUGUGAGCAGGUAUUUGCGUGACGUCAUUGUGAUGGUGUGGUGGCAGCGUCAUCAGAAAGGGGGCCUCAUAUUCCUCUUAU
rnacentral:sRNA from 1 species